UUUUUUCAAGCAUUAAAAGCCAUUAAAAGAAAUUAUGAAAAAAAGUGCUUAUUUAAUAGGUGUAACCGGUUAAUAGAAACACUGUAACUGUUUACCUGUGACUCAAUAAAAAUAUUUAAAAAAUAAAAAUAAAAUUUGAGUUGUUAAGCGGUUAACACAACCGUGUAACCGAUUACAUGCAGAAAAGUUUGAAUUUUUUUCUUAAAUAGAAUGCAUAAUGAGGAAAAUACCAAAAGAUUUAACACACAAAAGACAUUUAAUCAUACAUAAUACAUAUUAUAGGAC
rnacentral:lncRNA from 1 species